ensembl:lncRNA
CUCUGUACCGUAAUACCCUGUAUAUAGUCUCCACAUGGACUCUGUACCGUAAUACCCUGUAUAUAGCCUCCACAUUGACUCUGUACCGGUACCCCCUGUAUUUCACCCCUCUAUUUGUAUUUACUGCUGCUCUUUAAUUAUUUGUUAUUCUUAUCUCUUACUUUUUUAUGUGUAUUUUCUUAAAACUGCAUUGUUGGUUAAGGACUUGUAAGUAAGCAUUUCACUGUAAGGUCUACCUACACCAGUUGUAUUCAGCAUUUCACUGUAAGGUCUACUACACCUGCUGUAUUCAGCAUUUCACUGUAAGGUCUACUACACCUGUUGUAUUCAGCAUUUCACUGUAAGGUCUACCUACACCAGUUGUAUUCAGCAUUUCACUGUAAGGUCUACCUACACCUGUUGUAUUCAGCAUUUCACUGUAAGGUCUACUACACCUGUUGUAUUCAGCAUUUCACUGUAAGGUCUACUACACCUGUUGUAUUCAGCAUUUCACUGUAAGGUCUACCUACACCAGUUGUAUUUAGCAUUUCACUGUAAGGUCUAC